GCGGCAACAGCUCAAAUUUGAAAGCUAGCCUUCGGGUUCGCAUUGUAAUUUGUAGAGGAUGCUUUGGGUAAAACGCCAGUCUAAGUUCCUUGGAACAGGACGUCAUAGAGGGUGAGAAUCCCGUAUGUGACUGGAAAUGUUAACCUAUGUAAAGCUCCUUCGACGAGUCGAGUUGUUUGGGAAUGCAGCUCUAAAUGGGAGGUAAAUUUCUUCUAAAGCUAAAUAUUGGCGAGAGACCGAUAGCGCACAAGUAGAGUGAUCGAAAGAUGAAAAGCACUUUGGAAAGAGAGUUAAAAAGCACGUGAAAUUGUUGAAAGGGAAGCGCUUGCAAUCAGACUUGUUUAAACUGUUCGGCCGGUCUUCUGACCGGUUUACUCAGUUUGGACAGGCCAGCAUCAGUUUCGGCGGCCGGAUAAAGGCUCUGGGAAUGUGGCCUCCACUUCGGUGGAGGUGUUAUAGCCCAGUGUGUAAUACGGCCAGCCGGGACUGAGGUCCGCGCUUCGGCUAGGAUGCUGGCGUAAUGGUUGUAAGCGACCCGUC
rnacentral:rRNA from 1 species